CCUCAGAUAUUAUAGUUGCUUCUUCAGUUGGUUUGUUGAAAAAAAUUGAUGAGGCUAAAUUAAAUAAAGAAAAAGAUGUCGACUAUCUCUUUCUUCCAUAGAGGUUCUAGUUAUUGAUCAUGCAGAUGUUAUAACGAUGCAGAACUGGGACUUUUUGAAGUCUGUUGUUGAACAAUUGGACCACAUACCAUCUAAGCAGCAUGAACUGAUGUCAUGCGGAUAAGACCGUGGUAUGAUUUGUUGUCCAUCUUUUCAAGUAUUAACAUUGUAUUGUGCCAGGCAUGGCAAUUUAUCCUUAUAAUUUCUUCCCUCACACUAGUAGUAACAAAGUGCUUCCUAUACA